rnacentral:tRNA from 1 species
GCCUGGCUGGCUCAGUUGGAAGAGCAUGUGACUCUUGAUCUUGGGGUUUUGGGUUCAACCCCCACAUUAGGCA